CUGCUACUUUCCUGCCAACAGACAAAGGGCCUCCAGAUCACAACUGUGAGGAAAUGAUGGAUGGAGUUGACUCUAACAGACCAGACUUAAUGGAUGUCUCCCUCUCAGAUUCGGAACUUGAACUCUUUCCAGAUGGAAGCAGAUUUGUCCAGAGAGGACAAUGGAAAGCUGGGUUCACAGUCACUACUGCUAACGACAUCACAUAGGCUGAAGCCCUGUUGCAAGGAUGGUACACAUAGCUAGCUCAACUUUGGGCAUUGGCCCAGGCAUUAUGAUGGGCAAAAGGGUAACAGUGAACCUCUAUACUGAUUCAAAGAAUGCCUUUGCCACCCUGCACGUGAAUGUAGUGAUCUACAAGGAAAGAAAGCUACUGACAUCAGAAGGAAAAGAGAUUAAGAAGAAGGAAGAAAAAUCUCCAAAUGUUGGAUGCAGUCUGGGAGCCAUCCCAGGUGCAGGGGCCACGAAAAGGGCUCAGACUGUGUCAGCAGGGGAAAUCACCUGGCUGACCGUGCGACAAAGGAGGCUGCAGAGAAACUAAGUUCCCUCAGAGAGCUGAAUCGAACCGCCAAGCUCUUGAGGGCCCCAGAGCUGCCUCCUACCCCUAAUUAUACUAAGGAAGAGGAACAGUGGGCAAAGGAAUAAAGGAAGAAGGUAGCUGGUGGAAGCUGCCUGACCAGAGACUCUUUGUCCCCAGUAUUGUAGCACAUGUGCACAAACUAAUACUAAAUUAAGCCCCAGGGUACAAACAACAGGAACCAGGCCUUUCAAGGAUGUGCAGAUAGAUUUCACAGAGGUCAAGACCUGUUGGGAAUACCAAUACCUCCUGGUCCUUGUCUGUACUUAUUCAGGGUGGGUUAAAGCUUUUCCUAGAUGCACAGAAAAGGCAGAAGUAGUAAAGGCCCUUUCGAGAGAAAUUAUUCCCAGAUACAGGCUUCCACUCUCUAUCGGAUCAGAUAACAGACUGGGCUUCAUUGCAGAAAUAGACCAAGGCCUGGCUCAGAUGUUAAAAAUAAAAUGGAAACUCCAAGCAGCAUAUAGACCUUAAAGUUCAGGUAAAGUAGAGCACAUGAAUUGGAUCUUAAAAACCACUUUAUCUGCGCUCUGCCAGGAAACUCAGUCCCCCUGAAUGGAAAUAUUACCAUUAGCCCUACAAAGAGCAUGCUGUACCCCACAACCCUCUGGUUAACCACUCACCCUUUGAGAUUCUCUAUGGCAGAUCCCCCUCUCAGGCUUAGAGGAGACCUCAAGCAGAUUGGAAACUUGGAAAUGUCUUGACAUCUCCAAGCCCUGGGAAAAAUCCUACACCAUACCUUCCAAGAAGUUUCAGAAAGGACCCCCAUCCCCAUGGGUAACUGGGCUUAUCCCCACCAAACAGGAGACAUGAUUUGGGUAAAGGAUUGGAAAAAGGAGCCAUUCCAGCCUACUGGUCCCCAUCUGGUAAUAUAGGCAACUCCCACUUCUGUUAAGGUUGCAGGUGUUACUCCCUGGAUCCAUCACUCCUGGAUGAAGAAUGCAAUUCCAACAGACCUUAACAAUUGGCAAACAGUAUGGGACCCAACUACCCCCAUCAAAUUAAGCACAGAGAAUGACCCAGGAAUCCACAGCAAAUAGAACUCCAGCCCUGCUCUGACCAUACUCCAGAGGCUGGUCGGUCAGUGCACAGCAGAAGCUUGAGGAUUCACCUAUCAAAAUAUAAAUGAACCCCCUCUGUUACAUCUAUCCCUUGCUGCUAAUAAGCACUGUUGCUAUAUGCCUUGAUGUUGGAUUAGAUGUCACUGAACCCCAAGAUUGGAGCAUGGGUCAGAGAUUGUGACUAGCCUCCUGCUAUCUCCUUAGAACAGGAAGUUGUGCUGCUGUCUGGUUGUCUGUAGCCUGAACACACUCCCCUCCCCAUUCCUUUCAGCUAUUAAUGCUCCUGGAUUACACUUUGCCACCUCUCUUUUAUGGGUUACUAUAACCCUAGCAAACUGAUAAUGGGAAAAGGGGCUUAUGUUGUUACCUAUCUUUCCUACUUUGUUAUCAUAAAAUACAUACCUCCCUUUCCACACGCUACACGUGCUCCCAGUACACUGACCCCAGCACUCAUUUUACACCCUGCCUCUCCACAGACAACCAUGCAGACAUAAGGGGACAACUUAUGUUUAUGGAAUGGCUACUGUGGAACUUGGGGAACUACUUGUUACCUUCAACCCAGGCCUCAUCAUCCCUUCAGUCUCUUGGGUGGGCCCGGACUUGUGCACCCAUUCCCCACUCCACCAGAAAGCCCCCUUAUUCCAUACAAACCACCCACGCCUCUUAAUUUGGACUCCCAGUUGGACCUGUUGCUAAGUGCAGCCCCACUCCCUUCUUAAUGAUACCAACCUUCAGCUGGCCAAGUAUUGCUGGUUGUGCUUAUCCAUGGAAACCCUGCAUUACUUAGCCUCGCCAAUACUAUUGGGAAAUUUUACAGCCACAGAGCCCCCUCCAAAUUUAUCCAUGAGGCCCAUUUAGGGGCAGUCAUACUGAUUCAACAGGCUCCUGAAUGCAUGACAGCAAUGAAGGGGCAGAGCCUUCAUUGGCAAUUUAACUAGGGACCAACGUGACCAAGCAUUAACAGGUGGAUGGCCCACAAACACAACAUGGUGCCACCCCCGACAAGGCCUAUUUAUUAUAUGUGAGACAGAUGGCUUAUGUAUGCCUGCCCACUAAUUAGACAAGGACCUGCGCUUUGGCCUUCCUUAUCCCUCAGAUGAACAUAAUACUUAAUAACCAAACCCUCCCCAUAACCUCUGUCGGCUCGUCUACAAUCAAAGAGAACCAUCCAGUUCAUACUGCUGCUAAUUGGAUUGGGGAUAAUAGCCAGAAUAGGUACAGGCAUAGGAGGAAUCACUUCAUCAACCACCUUUUACUACAAACCAUCUAAGGACUUAACAUGAUACUGAACAAGUGGGCCAAAUCAUUAGUACCCCUACCUGGCUGAGGCAGUUUUGCAAAAUCGGAGGGGAAUAGACUUAAUAACAGCUGAAAAGAGAGGAAUCUGUCUCUUCCUAAAUGAAGAAUGCUGUUAUGCAAACCAAUCGGAGAUCAUCAGGGAUAUGGCCCAGCAACUAUAGGACUGAGUCCCACAUAAAUGACAGGAAUUAGCAGAUUCCUGGAGCCACUGGAAUAACAUCUGGAGUUGACCUUCAUAGCUCCUCCACGUGACUGGCUCCCUCCUCAUAAUCCUAUUGGCACUUUUAUUUGGUCCAUGUAUCCUCAAUCUCAUUACCUGCUUUCAUCCAUGAUUAGAGUCAAUCAAACUGUAAUUAUUGGUAACCCAAUAUAGGCCCCUUGGCCAGGAGGAACCUGAUGAAAAUGAGGGGUUUCACUCUCCCAACAGGCCUGAGGUUGAUGCUGAUCCACAAGUUGGAAAAAGCACCAAAAGGGGGGAAUGAACAGGAAAAAUAUCCAAAACAGACCCAGUAGGCCACAGGAGAAGUUAUCAGUUAAACCAGAGGUGGGCCUAGAACCAAGUGGAAGUCUCUACACAGAGAUAACCGCCAUUUUUGCUUCUGUAACCAGAUUUACUUACUGCCCUGCCCUAGCCGCUGUUCCCACUUGAGCAACCCAAAUUUCAAACCCACUUGUUAGCAGCCAGUACCACCCUUAUAACCCAAUCUCCUACACCGCCCUAUAAAAACCCUGUAAGCUCACUGCUUAGGGCCCAGAAUUUUCAAGUGGGAGCCCACUGAGGUUCGCUGAGUGUCACUGAGUUUCUCACCAGUCUGAUUUUUCCAUAAUACUAGAAUCAGGCUAAUACAUAGAAUAAUAUUCCCAUGAGCUCAAUGAAAGGGGUUGGUUUUAUAGACAGGCUAAAGAAAGCAGAAACAGAAUGAAGAAGGGAUUGGUCAUUUCAAAGUUAAUUUCCUCUCAAAGUGGUGAUAAGAAGAUGAAACCAUAGGAAAAUAACUGAUUUGUUAACAAAGUUACUUCAGAUUACCCUUUGCAAGAAACUUCCUUAUCAUGUCAAUUGAAACUGGCUAUUUAGGAAAUUUGAAGUUUUUUCUCUCCUGAUUUCUUGGAAGGCUGGCUUCAUUUUGGGUGUAGAACUUUAGCACAGAUUACUUCAUUUUAAUUUUUAGUGUGGACUGUUAAGGCUUAGUCCAAAACAGUGGACUUCUAUAAUUUUUAUUAUUUAUUUAUUUAGGUACUGGGGAUUGAAGCCAAGGGUGCUUUACCAUUGAGCUACAUCCCGAGGCCUAUUUGUUUUUUAUUUUGAGACAGGGUCUCAAUAAGUUGCUGAAGAUCUUGCUAAAUUCCUGAGCUGGCCUUGAACUUUACAAUCCUCUCGCCUUAGCCUCCCCAGAAGCUGGGAUUAUAGGCAUACCCUACCCCCUGUGGCUGUAAUUUUAUUGAACACAAUAAAUUCCUGUAUGCAUAUGUAAGCAUGUCUCCUACUGGUCCUGUUUCUCUGGUAGAAUCUGACCGAUAUAGCAAGUAGCCUUAUUUAUUUAACUGAACAAGUAAAGGUUAGCUAUGAAUUCCCUUGUUUUAGUUUGUAUACAAACCAAGCUGUAAUCCCACUAAUUAUAAUUUCCCCCCUUUUUUUCCCUCAAAGUUUCCUGCUUCAUUAUCUUCAUAAAUUAUCCUCUUCAAUCUUUUUAAAGACUUGAUCCCAUCAUUUUUCUCCUUUUUCCAGAAUCUUCAGCCUCUUCUAUUUUUCCUUCCUCUUUAUCUUAUAAACAUUGAUGUCUUUCCUGCCUAAGAAAAAACAAAACCUCCUUCCUUGCAUCCCCCUGUAACUAUGACUUACUAGUUAAUCUUCUGGCAUUCUAUAGCCAAAUUUAAAAUAUUCAACUCUUGCUGCCAGCAUAUCCUCACUUCCCAUUCAUUUCUUAACUAUCUGCAGCCUGGCUUCAGCUUCUCCCAUCCACUGCAAUUUUUUUUUGCCAAAAUAACUAAUAACUGUAUGGUUGCUGAAACAUCAACAAACAUCAAAGGGAGGAAACUGAAGUCUCUUCUUGACUUGUCCGUGAUAUUAGCCACUCAUUGAAAUUUCUCUCUUCCUUUCCAGUGUAUUCUCUUUACCUCCCAAAACACUCCAUUCUCUAGUUCUUUAACUGAUUCUACUUCUUUGCACCAUGCAUCAAAUGUUGGUAUUCCCCAAUCCUCUGACUUCAGCCUUUUUCUUAUUUUAUAUACCCAUAGUUUUCUUGAGGUUAUUUCUUUCACAUUCAUCACUUGAAUGUCAUUGUUUCUAUGCUAAUGACUCAUGAAUCUGCUUUUUAAUUUUUUCUUUUGGUACUGGGAAUCUUACCCAGGAGAGCUACAACUUUUGAUCCUCCUGCCUCAGCCUUCCAAGUUGCUGGGAUUACGUAUGUGAAUCACCUCUGUGCAUGACUCAUGAACUUAGGUUGCUCCAUUUAAAAUCCGCUCCAGGGCUGGGGUUGAGCUCAGUGGUAAAGUCUAACAUGCAUGAGGAACUGGGUUCGAUUCUCAGCACUGCAUAUAAAUAAAGAUCCAUCGACAACAGAAUAUUGAAAAAAAUCUGCAUCAAGGUUUAUUCCUGGGGAUAGGAAGGGCAGUAGAAUAAAAUAGGGAUUAUUAUUGCUGUAUGUAUAUAGGUGACUAUAUGACCAAUGUGAUUCUGCAACCUGUACAAUCAGAAAAAUGAGAAAUUAUACCCCAUUUGAUUCAAAUGUAUGAUUUGUCAAGAUCAUUGUACUGUCAUGUGUAACUAAUAAAAAAUAAAUAAAUAAAUAAAGAUUUAUUCCCAAAUCCUGUCAUUUGAGAUAACAUGGAUGGACCUGGAAGACAUUGUGAUAAAUGAAAUUAGCCAGACAAAUACUGCAUGGUCUCACUCAUAUGGGAAAUCUAAAAGUGUUGAAAAGUGGGAAGUGGGAUGAUGGUUACCAGAGGCUGGCAGAGGGUGGUAGAUGGGGAAGGGAAGAGAUUGAUCAAAGGAUUCAAAGUUUCUGUUGGACAGG
rnacentral:lncRNA from 1 species